UAUGUCAAGCUAGGGUACCACUACUUAAUCUCCAACGUCAUCUACCUCCUACUAGUCCCUCUCAUCGCCGCGGCCUCCGCCCACCUCUCCACGCUCACCGCCAAUGACUUCCUCCACUUGUGGCAACAGCUCAAGUUCAACUUCGUCUCGGUCACCUUGUGCUCGGGCCUCAUGGUUUUCCUAACCACCGUAUACUUCACCACCCGCCCUAGAAAAGUAUACUUGGUGAACUUCGCAUGCUACAAGCCCGAGCCGGCCCGCACGUGCACACGUGAGAUAUUCAUGGAGAGGUCGAAGCUGACGGGCAGCUUCUCUGACGAGAACUUGGCCUUUCAGCAAAAGAUUCUCGAGAGGUCCGGCCUCGGGCAAAACAC
rnacentral:lncRNA from 1 species